UAGCAGAUAAUUAGGUUCUGUCUCACAGGUUCAUUUUCCUGUGACUGGGACGUGAAUAUGACCUACAGCUGGCCUCAAUUUCAGUGUCACAGACAAAACUUUAACCCUUCCUAGUCUUGUCACUACUGUACCGACUGCUGCUGGCGGUCGUUGCAAACGUUUUCCCUGCAGUGUUCAACACAGCACACCCUAGUGAAUCCUCGGGGCUCGUUUCCCAGGUUAUGCUAAUCCCGAGCUAGGAGGGAGAUGGCCAAGCUUGCAUUCACAUGGUACGCUGGAUGGGGAAAAGAGUAUCGUUAGCACCAAAUGAAUAUUGAUUGUCUGGUAUGUAGAUUUGCCGGAAAGUAAUUGCUUGGAGUCAAGGAAUCUGUUGGGGAUGAUCUGUGUUUGGACACCUGAGCCUCUGCAGAACAUGACUGAUUGUGCUGUUCUUUCAAGGACCUACUCAAAGCAGGUACAUAUUUCGUGAUAGAGCAACUAAUAGCUAGAGAACUCUGCCGUGAAACUAUACGGCAACCCAGCUUUAGCAGGUAAUCCUUUUUUUCCAGUGUUAUCUUUUUUCCUGUUUGCUUAUUCCUUAACAUCUGAUUUUUUUAUUGAUACUUCUGAAAUGUGUUUUCUUGCUAAAAGACACUCUUACUGUAGGCGCAAGCACUAUAUCUGACUCUUUUCUGGCUUUUUUGAGGGGAAGAGGAGGUCCUUAAAAUUACAGUUUACUGAACUCUAUAAUUUCUUCAAGAGCCUGUUGUUGUAUUUUUUCACAGAAUUAGAAAUCAAUAUCCGUCAUAAUCCAAUUCCUUAGGUAAAGAAAAUUUUUUCAAAUUUUCGAGUGUGAAAUAAAUUUGUUUCCAUCUUUGCA
rnacentral:lncRNA from 1 species